rnacentral:rRNA from 1 species
UAGGGAAUCUUCGGCAAUGGGGGCAACCCUGACCGAGCAACGCCGCGUGAGUGAAGAAGGUUUUCGGAUCGUAAAGCUCUGUUGUAAGAGAAGAACGGGUAUGAGAGUGGAAAGCUCAUACUGUGACGGUAUCUUACCAGAAAGGGACGGCUAACUACGUGCCAGCAGCCGCGGUAAUACGUAGGUCCCGAGCGUUAUCCGGAUUUACUGGGUGUAAAGGGAGCGUAGACGGACGGGCAAGUCUGAAGUGAAAGGCAGGGGCUCAACCCCUGGACUGCUUUGGAAACUGUCCAUCUAGAGUGCCGGAGAGGUAAGCGGAAUUCCUAGUGUAGCGGUGAAAUGCGUAGAUAUUAGGAGGAACACCAGUGGCGAAGGCGGCUUACUGGACGGUAACUGACGUUGAGGCUCGAAAGCGUGGGGGAGCAAACAGGAUUAGAUACCC